rnacentral:rRNA from 1 species
ACGAACGCUGGCGGCAUGCCUCACACCUGCCAGUCGCACGAGACCUUCGGGUCUAGUGGCGCACGGGUGCGUAACGCGUGGGAACCUGCCCUUAGGUUCGGAAUAACUCCCCGAAAGGGGUGCUAAUACCGGAUAAUGUCUUCGGACCAAAGAUUUAUCGCCUUUGGAUGGGCCCGCGUUGGAUUAGCUAGUUGGUAGGGUAAAAGCCUACCAAGGCGACGAUCCAUAGCUGGUCUGAGAGGAUGAUCAGCCACACUGGGACUGAGACACGGCCCAGACUCCUACGGGAGGCAGCAGUGGGGAAUAUUGGACAAUGGGCGAAAGCCUGAUCCAGCAAUGCCGCGUGAGUGAUGAAGGCCUUAGGGUUGUAAAGCUCUUUUACCCGGGAUGAUAAUGACAGUACCGGGAGAAUAAGCUCCGGCUAACUCCGUG